AAUGAACGCUCGCGGCAUGCCUAACACAUGCAAGUCGAACGAGACCUGCGCGUUUAGUGGCCCACGGGUGCCUAACGGGUAGGAACUUGCCCUCACGUUCGCAAUCUCCCCCCGAAAGGGGUAUUGAUACCGGAUAAUGUCAUCGGACCAAAGAAGUAUCUUUUUGGGAUGUGCCUGCGUUAGAUUAGCUCAUUGGUAGGGUAAUAGCCUACCACGGCGAAGAUCCAUCGCUGAUCUGAGCGGAUGAUCAGCCACACUGGGACUGAGACACGCCCCAGACAGCUACAGGGGUCAGCAGUGGGGAGUAUUGGACAAUGGGCGAGAGAGUGAUCCGGAAAUGCCGCGUAAGUGAUGAAGGCCUUAGGGUUGUAAAACUCUUUUAACCGGUAUGAUAAUGACAGUACCGGGAGAAUAAGCUCCGGCUAACUCCGUG
rnacentral:rRNA from 1 species